GAUCGUAAAGCUCUGUCCUAAGGGAAGAUAGUGACGGUACCUUAGGAGGAAGCCCCGGCUAACUACGUGCCAGCAGCCGCGGUAACACGUAGGGGGCGAGCGUUGUCCGGAAUUACUGGGUGUAAAGGGUGCGUAGGCGGCCUUGCAAGUCAGAUGUGAAAGAUCACGGCUUAACUGUGGUAAGCAUUUGAAACUGUAAGGCUUGAGUGCAGGAGAGGAGAGUGGAAUUCCUAGUGUAGCGGUGAAAUGCGUAGAUAUUAGGAAGAAUAUCAGUGGCGAAGGCGGCUCUCUGGACUGCAACUGACGCUGAGGCACGAAAGCGUGGGGAGCAAACAGGAUUAGAUACCCUGGUAGUCCACGCUGUAAACGAUGAGUGCUAGGUGUCGGGGGUCAUACCUCGGUGCCGCAGUUAACGCAUUAAGCACUCCACCUGGGGAGUACGGCCGCAAGGCUGAAACUCAAAGGAAUUGACGG
rnacentral:rRNA from 1 species